rnacentral:rRNA from 1 species
AAUUAGUUUUUUAAUUGAAAAAUAGGAUGAAAGGUUGCAUUUAAUACAAAUAUUUUUAUAUAAAAUUAUAAAUUUUUAUUUUUAGUGAAAAUACUAAAAAUUUAUUAUAAGACAAAAAGACCCUAUGAAGCUAAAGAUAAUACACAAACUAAGAAGAAAAAUUUAUCUAUUUUUUGGGGUAAAAAAUAAAAAUUUUAUUAAAAUAUAUAAAUAUAUUUUAUCCUUUAGGAAAAAAGAAAAAGCUCCUCUAGGGAUAACAGCAUAAUAUUUAAAAAAGUCCUUAUUAAAAUAAAUGA